UACGUAGGGUGCGAGCGUUGUCCGGAAUUAUUGGGCGUAAAGGGCUCGUAGGCGGUCUGUUACGUCAGGAGUGAAAACUCGGGGCUCAACCCCGAGCCUGCUUCUGAUACGGGCAGACUGGAGGUAUGCAGGGGAGAACGGAAUUCCUGGUGUAGCGGUGAAAUGCGCAGAUAUCAGGAGGAACACCGGUGGCGAAGGCGGUUCUCUGGGCCUUACCUGACGCUGAGGAGCGAAAGCGUGGGGAGCGAACAGG
rnacentral:rRNA from 1 species